AAGAUGGUUUAAGUGGCAUAGUAUUCACAUUAACCAAGUUGUCGAGACCCUAAAGCGUACAUGGACAGAAUGUCUCCCACUUGGAUUUUGGAAUGAAUUCCUGGAUCCUUUCUUCAGGAUUUGUGUUAGCCCCUUCCACAACAUUAGCUACGAGGUCUCUCUGCUGCCUGAAUGUAACUGACAUCUCCAAACUCCACCAUGACCAAAAAUAAAUCAAGACAAACCUACAACCACCACUAUGGAAACAGACAACCAACAAGCUGAAGAGAUGAACAAAAUUCAACUGCUCCAAAAUAAUAAUGGAUGUGUGUUAACUUGGUCCUGAAUCUCUUGUUUCUUACUGAGGCC
rnacentral:lncRNA from 1 species